AAGGUUGACCUCGGAUCAGGUAGGACUACCCGCUGAACUUAAGCAUAUCAAUAAGCGGAGGAAAAGAAACCAACAGGGAUUGCCCCAGUAACGGCGAGUGAAGCGGCAACAGCUCAGAUUUGGAAUCUGGCCCCUAGGGCCCGAGUUGUAAUCUGGAGAGGAUGUUUCUGGCGCGGCGCCUUCCGAGUUCCCUGGAACGGGACGCCGGAGAGGGUGAGAGCCCCGUACGGUUGGACGCCUAGCCUUUGUGAAGCUCCUUCGACGAGUCGAGUAGUUUGGGAAUGCUGCUCAAAAUGGGAGGUAAAUUUCUUCUAAAGCUAAAUACCGGCCAGAGACCGAUAGCGCACAAGUAGAGUGAUCGAAAGAUGAAAAGCACUUUGAAAAGAGGGUCAAACAGUACGUGAAAUUGUUGAAAGGGAAGCGCCCGUGGCCAGACUUGUACCCCGCGGACCAUCCAGCGCCCUCAGCGCCGGUGCACUCCGUGGGGCGCAGGCCAGCAUCGGUUUUCCCAGGGGGAUAAAGGCGGCGGGAACGUGGCUCCCUCGGGAGUGUUAUAGCCCGCCGCGCCAUGCCCCUGGGGGGACCGAGGACCGCGCUUCGGCAAGGAUGCUGGCGUAAUGGCCACCGGCGACCCGUC
rnacentral:rRNA from 1 species